UACAGAGGGUGCGAGCGUUGUUCGGAAUUAUUGGGCGUAAAGCGCGUGUAGGCGGUCUGUUAUGUCGGGUGUGAAAGCCCUCAGCUUAACUGAGGAAGUGCGCCCGAAACUGGCAGACUUGAGUGCCGGAGAGGAUAGCGGAACACCCGGUGUAGAGGUGAAAUUCGUAGAUAUCGGGUAGAACACCAGUGGCGAAGGCGGCUAUCUGGACGGACACGUGACGCUGAGACGCGAAAGCGUGGGGAGCGAACAGG
rnacentral:rRNA from 1 species